rnacentral:rRNA from 1 species
UACAGAGGUCUCAAGCGUUGUUCGGAUUCAUUGGGCGUAAAGGGUGCGUAGGUGGCCAACUAAGUCAGACGUGAAAUCCCUCGGCUUAACCGGGGAACUGCGUCUGAUACUGGAUGGCUUGAGUUUGGGAGAGGGAUGCGGAAUUCCAGGUGUAGCGGUGAAAUGCGUAGAGAUCCGGAGGAACACCGACGGCGCAGGCAGCGUCCUGGCCGCUUGCUGACACUGAGGCACGAAAGCUGGGGGAGCAAACAGG